GACGAACGCUGGCGGCGUGCCUAACACAUGCAAGUCGAACGGACGAGGGGAGCUUGCUCCCCAAGUUAGUGGCGGACGGGUGAGUAACACGUGAGCAACCUGCCCUUCGGAGGGGGACAACAGCUGGAAACGGCUGCUAAUACCGCAUGACACAGCCUGGAGGCAUCUCCGGACUGUCAAAGAUUAUAUCGCCGAAGGAUGGGCUCGCGUCUGAUUAGAUAGUUGGUGGGGUAACGGCCCACCAAGUCGACGAUCAGUAGCCGGACUGAGAGGUUGAACGGCCACAUUGGGACUGAGAUACGGCCCAGACUCC
rnacentral:rRNA from 1 species